rnacentral:lncRNA from 1 species
UCUCACACCUAUGUAUGCUAAGACAGGGUUCACAAAAGGGAUGGGAUCUCAAUCCACAUCCGGGUUAUAUUCAAGAUCCCUCUCUGGAUCUUCUUCUUCUUCAAAAGUCUUUCUCCCCUUCAGGUUCCUCUUCCUUAGCUUCUCCUCAGGGUCCUGAAAUGGUUAUUCAAUAACCAAUGAGACCACGUCUCAGCGAGUCCUACCCCCUAAGACUCGAUUAAUAAACUAAUACGCCAUACGGUUGCCUAAGCACAACACGAGUCAGAGGACUUACCUUGGCCUCAGUUCCAACCUGCAAUUCAAGGUUAAACACAGAUAUUCAAACAAUUCACGACAUCCGAUCAAGCACUGGUCAAUCGACUAAGUCGAUUACAUGUCAGUCAGACCCUCUCUAGGUCAUUCCCACUCAUACCACGCUUUCCCAGUGGUGUACUCAUUCACCAAAUCACAUGUGUUUCUCAGGCGUCGUUUUCACCAAUGACAUACCGAUCACCGACACCGUGCGUUCUUUAAGGCGUCGUUUUCACUAGUGAUAUCCUCGAUCACCGAACCACGUGUCCUUUCUAGGGCGCCGUUUUCGCCAAGGUGACAUCGGCUAUAGACAGCAUCGUGAGUUCUUUAAGGCGUCGUUUUCACCAGUGAUAUUUCCAUAAUCACCGAACCACAUUUGUCUAUAAGUCAUUUACGUGCGUUCUUUAAGGCACCGUUUUCGCCAGUGAUACUUCCAAUCACCGAACCACGUAUGUCCAAUAACAUCGUACCUGAUUG